UCCUACGUAUACUCAUCCAUAGAAAAUGGGUUUUAUAUAUGUCUCACCUCGUCGUACAAUGUAGGAUUGAGAGAAAUGAGGAAUCAAAAUAUGCCAACCAAUUGUAAUUCAGCAACAAGGCUGCAACCUAUAAGUCUCUUAGAAUUUGGUAGUAGAUGUCCUUCCAAUACACUCCGAUUUGGAGGUCUCUUGUGCCACCUCACUGCUCUCCGGCUCCAUUGGACAACUGACAUGCUGAGAAGACCGGUUUUGCCCCACCUGUAUCGCGUCAUCGCCGUGUCCUUUGUGAUCAACA
rnacentral:lncRNA from 1 species